rnacentral:misc_RNA from 1 species
GUUUGAAUGACUUUGUAGGUCAUUAUGAUAUGAUGAUCUAACAGAACCUUUUUGAAUAUCAAGUCGAGGUUUUUCACAAGCAUGCUUUUUAGGCUUGUGUGUUAUCUUCGGUGAAUCAUUGUUCUCUUGUCCGUUGCCAGAAUCCAGAAUAUUGUGACGAUCUGUCAUCAUUGCAAGGAAAGCAUCUGCGGUACCUUGACCUUCCGGGAGAGAUAAAAAUGCUUUGUUUAUAUUAUAUAGGCUCUCUGCCAUUCCAGCUGAUUUAG